rnacentral:snoRNA from 1 species
GAAAGAACACAUUAGAGAAGGGAACCUGAAUCCCAUGGGCCUCUCACAGUGUCCCGGGCCAAAGCAUACUGUCACCCCCAACCAUUGCCUGGCUUUACCCGGUGGGCUUCAGGCACUGAAGGGUUUGCACAGUG